GGGGGGGGGUGGGGGGGGGGGGGGGGGGGGGGGGGCGGGGGGGGGGGGGGGGGGGUUGGGCCUCGGGCGGUAGCGGGGGACGGGUGGGGACGGCGUGGAUGACCUGGCUAGAAGACGGGGGUGACUUCGGGGACCCGGGGCUCAUACCGGAUAGUAUAUUGAACCGGAUGGUUGAGUCGUGAAAGACGGGUUUGCUCGCAGUUAUACAUGGAUCCGCGCCGCAUUAGCUAGUUGGUAAGGUAACGGCUUACCAAGGCGACGAUGCGUAGCCGACCUGAGAGGGGGAUCGGCCACACUGGAACUGAGACACGGUCCAGACUCCUACGGGAGGCAGCAGUAGGGAAUCUUCCGCAAUGGGCGAAAGCCUGACGGAGCAACGCCGCGUGAGUGAUGAAGGUCUUCGGAUCGUAAAACUCUGUUAUUAGGGAAGAACAAAUGUGUAAGUAACUAUGCACGUCUUGACGGUACCUAAUCAGAAAGCCACGGCUAACUACGUG
rnacentral:rRNA from 1 species